UCCCCAAAAAUCCCUCUCCCCAAAACUUCCCCCAAAUUCCUCAAUCCCUCUCCCCCUUCCCACGAUUUCAGCCCAUAUCACCGCCACGACACCGACGGUCCGACACCACCAGCUCGCCCUCCGUCCGUCGCCGACGACGCCACGCCGCCCCGACACCGACGCCCUCCGUUGGUGGGAAUGGGAGUAAUGAAGGAGAAAAAUGCCUUAGCUGAAAGGCUGAAGAAUGCUGAGGCUGCAAGAAAAAGAUUCGAAAGCUGAAGAAUGCUGAAGUUGCAGUCUCUUUCAAUUUGUUGUUGAUAUGUUGUGUAUAUCCAUUAUUUGUUGAAACAUAGACAGUGUGAAUUUUCUUGUUAUGUAUGCACCUAUUGUGUUUGCUUA